UUACAUUAAUUCGGCUCCAAUCUUCUUCCUUCCUUACUUUCAUGGUGUGCUUUCAUUCGACUCCCUCCUUUCCCAUUCAUCUUCGUCUUAUCUAGCCAUCAAAACCUUUCUGCUUUGUUCAAAAUCAGAAUGGUCAAAGCCACCACCGGCUUUCACAUUCGUGGUUACUUUAUCUGUGAAAGCCAUCACUGGCUUCUCUACCUAAAUCUUUCCAUCGUUCUUCCGCCUCAAAGCUUCGUAGAUCUCUUCUCUUUGAAGCUUCGUCCUUCAAUUUGUGUCCAGCGUUUGUAGAUCUAUGCAUAAAGGAUAAUCCAAGAAGUUGAAUGCCUCCUCAAGUCCAACCCUGUCAAGGAUCUCACUUCCCUUACCUCCAUGCUUGCUGACGUCAUCUUAGCUGAUGGUAGACCCAACGGUUACCCUCUCUUGAAUAUUGCCAACGGUCUCUGGAAAUGUUGUUGACUUGAUUGUCAUAUAGAAACUUCUGAGGUGCAAUGACAAUUAAAGGAAUGCUCUAUAAUGAACUCCUACUUUUCUUACAAUUGCAUUAAAAAGAUGUCGGGUAUGAGAAAGUUUGCAAAAACUUUAUUCCUAAUAGUUGCUUAAUUGUUGAUAAAUUAGUAGCAUUUGCUUACAGGGAGAAACUACUCCUACCUAAUCCUUCUUAACUCAUGUGACUUUAGCUGUAUAAAUUUAAAUUAUUAGCAUUCCCAUGGUUUGUUUUGAUUGGUAACCUAACUAGGCAAAUUGUUGGAAUGCAAAUCAACUUUUCUUUAAUGAAAAGCUAUAUAUAUGAGGUUGGAUUUGUUAAGAAUGAAUGAUACUAUGAGCGCUCUUUUAACUGAACACAUACUUAUGGUCUAUUGCCAUCUAAUAGUCCAAGUUUUAUUUAGUGUGAUUAUAUACUUUCUACUGUCAAUUAAACUGCUUCUCAAUUAUGUUAAUAUAGAAUUAGACAUAUUGUGUAGGUAAAUUUGAAAUUGAUAGAGUAAUGAUGAUACAAUUAGGUAACUCUUUUUCCACUGUUAUUAGUGAUAAAUUAAUAAUGGACAGUGCAUGUUUUUGAAAUUGUUCAGGAGAGAUAGGGAAAAUAUAGAGAAUCAGGUUUGGAUUAGUCUAAUAAAAUGAUUUAUUUCUGUAUCUGAUUUUCAUAUUUUCUUGUAAAUCAUAAUUUAGGCUGAAAAUAAAUCUUUUCUAAACAUUUUACCUUUAGGUUGAGUAUUCUAUUUUUUUUUGGUGUGAUUAUUAGUCCAUUAAAUUAAAUAACAUGAUCUCAUAAUUUUGUUACUUAAAGUUAUAAGAAAAGAUUUAGUCUUUAUUAAAGAACAUGAUCUCAAAAUCGAAGGCUUUCAUUCUUUUUUAAAUACAGUGUAGUCUUUGUUCGAACUUAUCUCUCCAGUUGGUACGAACAUGACAUGUUAAGAUUUGAAUCUAAAAGUAAAAAAAAAUUACUGGAAUUAAAUAAAUCUUAGCAUUCGACACCGUCUUACCUAUUAAAAAGAAAUGGCUGGCAAAUGUAAAGGGCCCCACCCUAUGCUUACUUUUAACUAUAUUGCAUUGAAUGAAGUAGGCACUUUUUUUCUGAGCAUUUUCAGAAUAAGCUAAAAGGGUGGGCUCUGACUAGAUUCAGAAGAAGCGAGAAAGCACCGAGCCUUUUAUGUUGUAUUUUUUUUUUUUGGGCAUCCAUAAAAGCUGAUUGUAAAAGAGGAGAGCUUUAACUAGAUUCAGAUGAAAGAACCUAGAUUUUCACAUUGUAUUUUCUUUGGCAUUUGUGAACGUUGAUUAUAACUUCUGUUGUGUACUUUAGUCCUUACAUUGUCUAUUUCCCCUUAUUUUUUCAUGCAAGUCUAUAAACUAUUAGGUGAAAGAGUUUUGUAUCAUUUAUACUGUAGAUUGUCUAUUUCCUGGGUCACUUUUUUCAUAUAAUGACGUUUUGUCAACAUAAGGGAUCUCAUGUAUGAAUUUUUAUUAAUAGCAUUUUCGGUCAUAUGCCCUCUAUA